GAUGAACGCUAGCGGCAGGCCUAAUACAUGCAAGUCGAACGAGAUUAAGGAGCUUGCUCCUUGUGAAAGUGGCGCACGGGUGCGUAACGCGUAUGCAACCUACCUUAAUCAGGGGGAUAGCCCGAAGAAAUUCGGAUUAACACCGCAUAAAAACACAGGAUAGCAUUAUCCAAUGUUCAAAUAUUUAUAGGAUUAAGAUGGGCAUGCGUGUCAUUAGCUAGUUGGCGGGGUAACGGCCCACCAAGGCGACGAUGACUAGGGGAUCUGAGAGGAUGACCCCCCACACUGGUACUGAGACACGGACCAGACUCCUACGGGAGGCAGCAGUAAGGAAUAUUGGUCAAUGGAGGCAACUCUGAACCAGCCAUGCCGCGUGCAGGAAGACUGCCCUAUGGGUUGUAAACUGCUUUUAUCCGGGAAUAAACCUAAUUACGUGUAAUUAGCUGAAUGUACCGGAAGAAUAAGGAUCGGCUAACUCCGUGCCAGCAGCCGCCGUAAUAC
rnacentral:rRNA from 1 species